GCCCUUCGCUCCUUAAUGUGAAUUGCAGAAUUCCUUUCCUCCUCUCAUCUUUGAACGCACCUUGCGCUCCUUGGUAUUCCUUGGAGCAUGCCUGUUUGAGUAUCAUGAAAUCUUCAAAGUAAAUCUUUUGUUAACUCAAUUGGUUUCUACUUUGGUAUUGGAGGUCUUUGCAGCUUCACACCUGCUCCUCUUUGUUCAUUAGCUGGAUCUCAGUGUUAUGCUUGGUUCCACUCGGCGUGAUAAGUUAUCUAUCGCUGAGGACACUGUAAAAGGUGGCCAAGGUAAAUGCAGAUGAACCGCUUCUAAUAGUCCAUUGACUUGGACAAUACUUUUAUGAUCUGAUCUCAAAUCAGGUAGGACUACCCGCUGAACUUAAGC
rnacentral:misc_RNA from 1 species